GGUAAGGCCUUAACUUGAGCUAAUCCAUUAUCGGAUCGUAAUAGGAGUAUUGCUCAUUGUUACCUGGAAUACUGAUGUUUGAACCAUUAGGCAGGGAGGAAGACGCCUCCACUGCCUUAAUGCAUAUCAAACAAGGGAACCAGUCUAUCUCAGAUUAUGCCAUAGAAUGUCAUACUUUGGCAUCUGAGGUACACUGGACUAAUAAUGGAUUAAUCGCUGCUUUUAAAAAUGGAUUAUCCGAGAAUAUUCUUGACGAAAUUGCUGCCAAAGACCCACCUAAGGGGUAAAUUGCUUUAUUACUUAUGUGAUGCAGAUCGAUAAUAGACUCAGGACCAGGGAAAUUGCUAGAAACAGAACUAGACGUUUGACUAUGUCACUAGCACCUCGAUUCUCCAGACCUGUUGUAUCUGGCCUUCCGACGCUGUCUGAACCCGAACCUUUGCAAUUAGGGGUUACUGGACUGUUGGAGGCAGAGAAACCGUAUAGGAGAAGAGAGGGUCUUUGCUUAUA